AUUGAACGCUGGCGGCAUGCCUUACACAAGCAAGUCGAACGGCAGCACGGGUGCUUGCACCUGGUGGCGAGUGGCGAACGGGUGAGUAAUACAUCGGAACAUGUCCUGUAGUGGGGGAUAGCCCGGCGAAAGCCGGAUUAAUACCGCAUACGAUCUACGGAUGAAAGCGGGGGACCUUCGGGCCUCGCGCUAUAGGGUUGGCCGAUGGCUGAUUAGCUAGUUGGUGGGGUAAAGGCCUACCAAGGCGACGAUCAGUAGCUGGUCUGAGAGGACGACCAGCCACACUGGGACUGAGACACGGCCCAGACUCCUACGGGAGGCAGCAGUGGGGAAUUUUGGACAAUGGGCGAAAGCCUGAUCCAGCAAUGCCGCGUGUGUGAAGAAGGCCUUCGGGUUGUAAAGCACUUUUGUCCGGAAAGAAAUCCUUGGCCCUAAUACGGUCGGGGGAUGACGGUACCGGAAGAAUAAGCACCGGCUAACUACGUG
rnacentral:rRNA from 1 species